rnacentral:lncRNA from 1 species
AUGCCUACUUUAAAGUGUUAAUAGUUUGCAUAUGUAUUCAAAUGUUCUUACAUGUUCUUAGCUAGGACAAAAAUUUUCCAUCAAGUGGUAUCAGAGCCUAGGCCUAGUUUAUGGUGAAUCCUUUUGGGUUUUGUGAUUUGAAUGUUGUAAAUGUUACAAGCUUUGUUUUUGCUUUAAAUAUAAAUUUUGCUAGAAAAUUUAGCAUCUCAAAUGUUGUAGAUGUAUUUCAUUUAAGCAUGAAUAUUGGAACUAAAAUUUGGUGCCAUGAAUGUUUGGAAAUUCGGCCAAAUCCAAAGGGUGAUUUUUUGGGUUCAUGUUUGUCUUGUUAAAAUGGUUUUAAGGUGACUUUUGGAACCCCUAAGUACCCUAGGAUGUUAGCCCUCUUUUGAGUAGUGAAAAUUUGAGUUUUAAUGAGUGAAAACAUUCAUGGAGCUCUUAUGAGUUUUCAUGUGUGUUCUUCAAUGUUCUUGAGUUUCUUACCAAGAACAAAAAGGUUUGGAUUUUUGAUUCAAAGUGUUUGGUGUUUUAAAUAAAGUUUUGGUUUAUUUAUGAUGGGUGAUGGUUAUAGGUGAAGGAUGAUUAAUGCUAUUAAUGUUUCACAAAAACAUUUCUCUUAUAACCCAUCCCAUUCACCUUUAACCUCACCCACCAAAUCCACUUGCAUAUUGCACAUGCAUGCACCACUUGCAUAAAAUCCCUUUCACACUCUUUCACACUCCAAAAACCGGCCACCCCCUAGUGGGGGUACUUUUGGGGCCUUUUAUGCAAUUACAUAAAGUUUUGAUACUUUUGUGUAUUUGCACUUUGGCCCAAAAGUUUACGUUUUUACGUUAAAGCCCAAAAACUCUAAAGGACGAAUUGUUUUGAUCCUUUAAUGAUGUUUUUACAUUAUUAAAAUUUUGGGUUCUAGUUGAAAUUACAUGAAGUUGUGGAGUUUUGUGUUUUUUCAAAGUGACCCCAAAAGUUUGUGUUUUUGCAUUGUGGCCCAAUUGUUGUGGUCAUAGUUUCCUUUUGGCCCAAAUAAAAUGAGAACAAAAUUGUUUUGUCUCUUUAAUGAGAAUUGGAUUUUCAUUUCAUUUAGUUCCAUUUAAAUCAAUUCUAUGGAUCCAAAAACCAAUUGUUUAAGUAGCUUUCUUAGUUAAUGUGAUUGAUUAAGAAAAGGGUGAUUAUG